AAAAGUUACAGUUGUUUGGUAAAAACCAGUGCCACAGUUUGAAUGUGUUUCUCUAAAACUCAUGUAAAACUUACUCUCCAAUGUAAUUGUCUUAAGAGGUGAGGCCUUUAGGAGAUGAUUAGGUCAUAAGGACUCCCCUCCCACUUAUGAAUUGGUGCCUUUUAAAAAAGGGCUUGCGGGAAUGAGCUUGUCUCUUAUUGCCCUUCUGUCAUGUGAGGACACAGCAAGGAGAUGCUAUCUCGGAAGCAGAGAACAAGCCUUGGUUUUGGACUUCCCAACCUCCAGAACUAUGAGAAGUAAAUUUCCAUUAUUUAUAAACUAACCAGCAAAAACGGACUAAGACAAGCAGGAUCCAAUCAAAGAUUGCAUUUGCUUGUUCUGUUUAGUGUGUUUUAUUCUAGAAAAGCGUCUUCAUAUUUUUCUAAUGCCAUUGAUUUUUUUUUUCACAGAAUCCAAGCUCAUUUGCUUUCUGAUGUGUUUAAUGGCCUGACGUAGCUAAAGAUAAGUUGAGUCAAAGGGGGAAAAUUAUUUCCUGGUCAUAGUAGAUCAUUAAAAUAAGUUAACAUUUUCUAUAAACUUGGCAUCUGUGCCAGUAUCCAUAGAAUGGAAGACAGUUGUAGCUCCACUCACUCUCCUCCUUAGUCUUUGCUUUAUUCAAAGAAGUUAUCUUUGUUUUUUAUCCAAAAGGUCUUGUUUCAGGAAUGGAUGAGUGUUUUCACACAUAUACACCAAGUUGACAGGCACAUAUGGUAUUUUACUGAAUUUAAAAAUAAGAACUCAGCAAGGUCACACACCAUAAUGAAUGAGCUCUGAUUUUCAUGUCGUUCUAGGAAGGUUUUAAUUUGAACCAAACUUAAAGACGUGUAGAAAGCAUGUGUGCUUUCAAUAACCUAUUGAUUUAUGAGCAAGUCUUAUUCUCAGGGUCUUUCAACUUGGCAGAGUUGAAAAUUCUUUAGAGGGACCUACUGUCUGGGCAUAUGGACAGAUGCUUCUCCCAGAGAGCCUAUGAAAGGCUUGGAAUAGCCUGGAGAGUAGAAAAAAUUGUGUUCAGUAGGAAGUGAGACACAGUCUCACAUUGCUUCUCAGCCUUUUAGCGAAGAUCAAGUGUGAGACAGAGUCUCCACCUCCUAUGGGAAUGUGUGAAAUAAAUUCAUUUCAUUUUUGCUGCUCUUAAAGCUAAUAUUUGUUUGCUUGAAUAUCAUUGGAACAAAUGUAAUAUAAGAACUUUCCUCUUCUACAAUUAAGUCAGCUAAAUGUUUGCUGAAUCAUGAAACCAGAUUUCAAAGAGGUCAUUUCAAGAUUACUGGUUCAGUCUUCUACUUCUAAAUAAGAGUCCAAUAUAUAUGACUAUUCAAGGUUUCUAAAUAUAUUUAGUGAAAGAUUCCAAACCCUUUGUUGAUGGGCUUUUCCAAAAUUUAAGAAACUUCGGUGGAGUAAAAAUAUUCUCUUAUUUCCAGUCUAAAUCUCUUUCUUCUUUAAAUUUUUCAGUACUUAAGUGAAGAUGAGGAGAAACCAGUCUUUUUCUGUAACUGUUAUGUAUUGGAGAUUAAAUUGUUCAAUGUCCUCUUCUUCAUAUCAAAUAACCCUUUUUUACCCCUUUACUGACAUGUAUAGGCUAAUAUGGCCAACUCAUACUUUUCUUAAAAGCAUUCUUUUUCACUACAAGUUUCAGAAAAAAAAAUCAAAGUCUUUCUAAGCCUUACCGAGUUUCUGCAUCUAUAAAAUAGGGGUUCAUAAUAAGAACAAGUAUUUGGCCAGCUUAUGCACAUUUUAGCCCACCGUUCUUUUCAGUAGGGAGCACUGCAAAACCAACCAAGUGAAUCAUGCCAAGCUUUAUUCAGUUUCCUCACCUGUAAAAUGGAGCACUAAAUAUCUGGCU
rnacentral:lncRNA from 1 species